UUUUAUUGCACUCAGAAAUGAUCUGAUUGUCAGCUCUAUUAUAUGGGUACAAAGCGACAUACAAAUAAUAUAUAGGGGAGAGAGAUGAAUCUGGAGGGGGAGAUAGACUCUGGAGGGGGAGAGAGA